AUUUUGCUUGACAUUGAGUCGGACGUGGAGGAAGUUCAACUCAUUAUUCACCAACUUCAUUCAAAAUUGAGUGAAAUCGAUAGGAAAAAUGAAUACUACAAAACACAGAAGAUAAAUUUCAAUGUUGAUGUUGGAGAGUGCACAGACUUAGAAACAGCGAAGCGAGCAGUGGAGUUGCGGAAACUGCUAUGGGACAGUCUGGAAGCGUGGAAUGCUAAGGUGGAAGACUGGGAAAUGCAACCGUUCGACACCAUUAAUCCAAACGAGCUUAAAGAGUUUAUUGACACAAGCGUGAACACGAUAGACAAAAUAAGCGAUGGAUUGCCGGAAAACAGCGUAAUUCAGAAGUACUCGGAAUUAGUCGAGAAUAUGAAGACGAAGCUUCCUGUAAUAGAGUGCAUGAGAAAUGAAAACUUGAAAGAACGGCACUGGAAAGAAAUUGGAUCUUUGGUCAAACAGGAUUUGAGUUCAGAUGAAACUCUUACUCUGCGGGUUAUUGAAGAUAUGAAUUUAUUUGCAAAUUUAGG